AAAUGAACAAGACAGUCUCCACAAGGGCUCUCUUUCAACAUCAACUGCUUCCUCAAUUUGGUGCGGUACGAGCAGGAGAAGAGACAGGCGCAGGUCGUGAAAUAUCAAUCUGCCCAAAAGUAAUGCAUGGACACCAGCACGUGAUACAACCUGCAACACAAGUGAUGAACAUUUAUAAUAAGUUGAAGAGCUUUCAUCGGAGACAACAGGGUCUUGAGAAGAACAUACAGUUUGUGACGUCCGAGAAGCAAUCACAAAGGCCGGUGGACCAAGGGACCUCAGUUCCAGGUUGAAGACCACCGGUGGAGCUAAUCGGAAUACCCGUGGCCAUCGCGGGUUGACUGGAGGUAUAAGGAGGCGCUGAGGGCGGAGGUGAAGCCGAGAAUUUCUGGUAAUCGUUUUGGUACAUGAUUCCGUAAUAGAAUUAUGGAGUGAUUUGAAACGAUAAUUCAGAAAGAUUGAAAGAGGAGUUUUCUGCUGAUAAA